GUAGGGUCCGAGCGUUGUCCGGAAUUAUUGGGCGUAAAGGGCUCGUAGGCGGUUUGUCGCGUCGGGAGUGAAAACACCGGGCUUAACUCGGUGCUUGCUUUCGAUACGGGCAGACUGGAGGCAUGCAGGGGAGAACGGAAUUCCUGGUGUAGCGGUGAAAUGCGCAGAUAUCAGGAGGAACACCGGUGGCGAAGGCGGUUCUCUGGGCAUGUCCUGACGCUGAGGAGCGAAAGUGUGGGGAGCGAACAGGAUUAGAUACCCUGGUAGUCCACACCGUAAACGUUGGGCGCUAGGUGUGGGAUCCAUUCCACGGGUUCCGUGCCGUAGCUAACGCAUUAAGCGCCCCGCCUGGGGAGUACGGCCGCAAGGCUAAA
rnacentral:rRNA from 1 species